GCACGCACCAAGGUCCCACCAAGAGAUAUAAGAAAUGUAUUUGUAAUAUUAAAUAUAAUUGCAUUUAUUCCUGUUAUCAAUCAAGGUGAGACUGAACAUGGACAAGGCGCAGGAGAAACAGAAGGAGAGCUAACGGAGGAGAAUCAAGAAGGGAACCAAGUGCUUUGACAUACGGGCAAAUUACUUGGUUUGGAAGAAGGAUGAAAGGAAGGCGAGAGCUGGGAAACCUCGCCGCUCUUUAGCUCCUAGCCGGGGUCACCAUCUGUUAAGGGUUACCUCGGUGGAAGCCAACAAUCUUCUCCAGUUGGAGCAGUUGGACGAUCGACCACUGAAAGCCCUGACGCCCUACACUUCGGUGAAGCUCAAUAGAAAAAGUAUGUUAUGCUUUGGUUGACAUUUGAGAAUGCAAAAAAUGGUAGUUAUGCUGAGUUUAUAAGAAUGUACUUCUUCAAUUUACCUCUCCAAUUUACCUCUCCAAAUGACAAAGGACAAUCGACUGUCUGAGCCCCCCAUGAGGUUUCCGAUCCACCAGAGCCAGUGAGUUCAGAUCAGUCUGAUUCUCUGUGCUCUGAGUUGGAGGGGGACCUUCUUGAGGACAUAGGGGUUCUGCUCAACACCCAGACGUGGAUCCAACCAGCCUCCAAUUUUUCAUUACAUCAUCUACAGCUACUGUUGUUGUCAUUAUCUGCUAAUUAACAUUUCUUGCUCUCAUACUGGCCACAUAAUAUGUGAGAUACACAGAUGAACUAAAAACACUAGCACUGCAAACACUCAGAACAAAGAGAGCAGUAGGGCUGGGCGAUAAAUCAAUAAUUAUGGAGGUAAUUACCCUCAAUAACGAUAUAAAAACAUUUAGAUUAAUUUUCGAUAAUGUCGAUAUAGAAUAAAUAGGUACAGCAGUCUAUUUCACCUCUGUGACGCAGCAGGAACGUGGGGAGAAGUGACAAUAUGCAUGUGGGGAGAUAUACGCCCACUACAAACCACCUCGAGUGAUGGAGUAGCUAUUAUUAACCACAGAUAUGAGUGAUGUAGGCGAAAACAGUGGCAGUGAUAACCAUGGAGAAGGACGUUCAACUGUUUCAGUUAUUUGGAUGUGGUUUGGCUUUUUGAAGUCCGCUCAAGACAGAUUUGACGUAUUUUGCUACUACUACCGAUCUGUGGUCUAGUUGCAGUCAGCCUUAUAUUAUCCUCACUGUCCACUAUAUUGACAAAGAGUGGAAUCUUCAAAAGAAAUGCCUUCAAACAUCAUACUUUCCCGACGACCACACGGGUGAAGCUAUAGCAGAGGGGCUCAUUGAAGCUCUCGCCUCCUGGGGACUCAGUUAAGACAGACCAGUCUGCAUUACAACAGAUAGUGGUGUAAACGUGGUGAAGGCCGCUCAAAUCAACAAAUGGACCCGACUGCAAUGUUUUGGACAUCGUCUGCGCUUGGCCAUUGGUAAGAAACCUAGUCAAUUGUAUAUAUUGAAGUACUAAAUGUGAUUUUUUUUUUCAUCAACUGAUUAAGUUAAAUAUUACAUUUGUACAUAACUAAAGGGAUUAUUAUGAUUAACAUUUUAUUAAAAUCUUUUGAUUUCUCUUAGUGGGUAGAGACAAACGGGUGGAUUGAGCAAUUGGAGUGUGUAAGAAAGUGGUAGGUGCCUUUUCCUAUUAGUGGAAAAAUAAGGGAGACCUGGCAGUUGCUCAAAAAGAACACAACCUACCUCUGCACAAGUUGGUGACAGAGUCGCCUACCAGGUGGGGAUCACGUCAAAAGAUGGUGCAAAGAGUACUGGAGCAGGACAAGGCCAUUUCGCAGGUCUUGUCCAGUGACAUGAAGACCCAGCACUUAGCUCCCACCUAUACAGAUAUAGUUGUUCUUGAGUCCAUCAUCCAGGCAUUGACCCCACUCCUAGAAUUUACAGAUGCUCUGUCUGGUUAGUCUUAUGUCAGUGUGUCUUACCUGAAGCCAGUAUGACACCUGUUCAAUACAGAGGUCAUGAAACCUGAUGGUGGUGAAACAGAGCUCACCCAAAUCAAAACGAUAGUCAUGGCCUCUGAAUGAGAAAUAAGAUGACCUCCUGGACAUAGCCUCGUUGGCCGACCCUUGGUUUAAAACACAUUACAUCAAAGAGGAGAAGGAGGGCCACAUAAAAGCCUCUGAUGGUCAAUGAGGGACAUGAAAACCCAAGCCUAGCACAGGGAGACGUUGCUGCUGCUUCACCACAACUGCCAGCUAAAAAGAGAAAGUCACUGGGCAGUUUUUUUCAAAAAGUCGUGGUCCACCACCACAGGUCUUACUGAAAUUCAGCUGGUAGAAAAGAAACUCAGCUGCUACCUUCAGACUCCUGAUGCUGACCGUGAAACCAAUCCACUAGACUGGUGGAAGAUCCACCUCCAAAAACUUUCCCCAAGUCAGCCACCUGGCAAUGCGCUACCUGUGCAUUCCUGCAACCUGCUCCCCCUCAGAGCGUGUUUUUAGCACAGGUGGCAACAUGGUGACCUGCCAUAGGGUAGCUUUAAAGCCAGAGACCGUAGAUAGACUUGUCUUUCUUACUUGUAACUUGUAAGACAACAACUACCCCAACUUCAACUGUGAUGUGCCAUUAGGCUAACAGUUAUAAUGCAUAUUGACUUGCAUAAUAUGUUUGUAUUUUAUUUAUUGUUCAUAACUUGUAAGGAUUUACAGCUAUAACCUCUUUGGGCUGAGAUCCCUCUAACGGGAUCGAUAUGACAAUAGCCAGUGAAAGUGCGCCAAAUUCAAAACAAUAAAUCCCAUAAUUAAAAUUCCUCAAA